CCUACGGGCGGCUGCAGUGGGGAAUAUUGCACAAUGGGCGCAAGCCUGAUGCAGCCAUGCCGCGUGUGUGAAGAAGGCCUUCGGGUUGUAAAGCACUUUCAGCGGGGAGGAAGGCGGUGAGGUUAAUAAUCUCAUCGAUUGACGUUACCCGCAGAAGAAGCACCGGCUAACUCCGUGCCAGCAGCCGCGGUAAUACGGAGGGUGCAAGCGUUAAUCGGAAUUACUGGGCGUAAAGCGCACGCAGGCGGUCUGUCAAGUCGGAUGUGAAAUCCCCGGGCUCAACCUGGGAACUGCAUUCGAAACUGGCAGGCUAGAGUCUUGUAGAGGGGGGUAGAAUUCCAGGUGUAGCGGUGAAAUGCGUAGAGAUCUGGAGGAAUACCGGUGGCGAAGGCGGCCCCCUGGACAAAGACUGACGCUCAGGUGCGAAAGCGUGGGGAGCAAACAGGAUUAGAUACCCCAGUAGUC
rnacentral:rRNA from 1 species